UUGACAGGUGACAAGUCUGAAGUAUUAUUAUUACUGCUGCUACUAUUAUUAUUAUCUGCCUACUUUUAUAUUCUUAAAAUAUGUUAGAACAUAUGGAUAGGUUUUACAAGCUCCAGUAUACUGUACAUGGUACCCGUUAAUCUGUAUUUAAGGCUGGGGCAUCCCUGUCAGGUUUUCUAGAUAUUUCUCAGAGAAUGUUUUGUGUCAGCUAUAGUGUAGACUGUAAAAUACAGAUGCUGAGAAAGCGGUUGUGUGUGCAGUUGCAGUGCCUAAGAUUCUACCCGAGAAGCUCUCAGGUCGUGUCCACAUGAGUCAGCUAUGCACCCAGCUAUGUUUCCAGGGCACAAGGCAUUCUCCUUUGCGAAGGAAGAAGCGUUUGGUUCCACCUGUUCACAGGAAAGCAACCAACCAACCGACCAACCAACCAACCAACCAACCGACCAACCAACCGACCAACCGACCAACCAACCAACCGACCAACCAACCAACCAACCAACCAACCAACCGACCGACCAACCAACCGACCAACCAACCAACCGACCAACCAACCAUCCGACCAACCAACCGACCAACCAACCAACCGACCAAAUCUACUUCUUCUUUGAUGGCAUUAUUCAAUAUUCCUUAUAUCUUUCAGUAUGACUAUGAAGCUAAAGGUAUUUUAGGCAGUUGUAAAAAUAAAACGGGCAAAGAAUUAAAAAAUUCAAAUGGAAACUACAGUGACAUUUUGCUCAGUUGUCGUAACUUCUGCAGAAGGAAGGGAUUUGCCAAGAAAGGGAAUUUGUUUUCCUCCCUUAAUUGCACAUAUGUCUGGCUCAUUGCUUUUGAGAGCUGAAUGUACACAGACCAUAUUGUGGAGGCGAACUUGUCUUCAAUCCUGUAAACUUCUAAAACUGAAGUUAGACCAUGAAGAAAUAAAAGCAAAUGGACAGAGAACGUAAUGUAAUAAAAUCUAAUUGAGAAAUAAAAUUAAAAAAACAAA